CGGCGUUCCAGGAGUGGCCUCUUUUGUAGGAGCACCUGAAAUGCAGCGUCUGGUGCACUAAGCCGUAGCGGCAGCAGCAGCCACAGCGACAGCGCUGGGGCCCUGUGUAGAAGCUCCAUCCCCCUUGUCUUUGUGCUUGCCUGCGUCCCCAGACUCAGAGAUUAUCUUAGAAGACCUAGGACUCCAAAAAUGUUUCCCCUGAAGGACGCUGAAAUGGGAGCCUUUACCUUCUUUGCCUCGGCUCUGCCACAUGAUGUUUGUGGAAGCAAUGGACUUCCUCUCACACCAAAUUCCAUCAAAAUUUUAGGGCGCUUUCAAAUCCUUAAAACCAUCACCCAUCCCAGACUCUGCCAGUAUGUGGAUAUUUCUAGGGGAAAGCAUGAACGACUAGUGGUCGUGGCUGAACAUUGUGAACGUAGUCUGGAAGACUUGCUUCGAGAAAGGAAACCUGUGAGCUGUUCAACGGUUUUGUGUAUAGCAUUUGAGGUUCUUCAGGGCUUGCAGUAUAUGAACAAACAUGGUAUAGUACACAGGGCAUUGUCUCCUCAUAAUAUCCUGUUGGACCGAAAGGGACAUAUUAAAUUGGCUAAAUUUGGACUUUAUCACAUGACAGCUCAUGGUGAUGAUGUUGAUUUCCCAAUAGGGUAAGGAUAUGUUUUCCUCUAUUUUGAGUUUCUUUUUAACUUUGUAAUCUUUGAUAACAUGUAUAUUUUGUUAAUUAUAUUUGAUAUUCCUUUUUGAUAUGCAAACAGCUUUUUUAAAAUUAAUGCAUCUCAAUUUUCCAUAUACUUUUAAAAUGAGUAGACAAUGAGUUUUUCCCAGCAUCCUCGUUGAUGUUCAUCAUUCAUUGAAUUGGCAGAGAAGCUAACAGUAUUGACAUUCUUUACAUUAUAAUAUUUCCUAAUUAUCUGUAUUUCAUUCAGAAUCAAAUCAACUUAAGGCAAGAAGGAUGACUAGAUUCUCAACUAAUGAUAAUGUGUGUGCAUCAAGAGACUGAAAAACAUCACUCUCACAUUAUUUUCAAUUUAAUGUUUUAUGUUUAAUUCCCUUUUCUCUAAGAUAUAUAUUAAGAUUCAAGUUGAGUCAUUGUGGAUAUUAGAGAUAGAGAUAAAUUCCAUACCUGAAAGUCUAUGUUUAAGUUCAGAAAGGUUUAUUUAAUCACUUCUGUUAUGGAAUUGCAGAUGUAUGUUGCCCUCCACAAAAGAAAUGGAAGGUUGUUUCAUGCAUAUUCAAGUAGAUGUUUUUGAUACGGAUUUCUGUGUUAUAUUUGUGUGGUUGCUUUUAGACAUUUUCAUUAUUAUUUUCUUUUCUGAAGAUUAAGUUGAGAUUGUUUUAGAUAAAAUAGUUAC
rnacentral:lncRNA from 1 species